rnacentral:rRNA from 1 species
UUUUGGAGGGAAUCUUCCGCAAUGAACCAAAGUCUGACGGAGCAACACCACGGGCUUGAUGAAGGUUUUCGGAUCUGACAACUCUGUUGUUAGGAAAGAUCAAGUACCUUAGUAACUGCUGGUACCUUGACGGUACCUAACCAGAAAGCCACGGCUAACUACGUGCCAGUAGCCGCGGUGAUACCUAUGUGGCAAGUGAUGGCCGGAAUUAUUGGGCGUGAAGCGCGUGCAAGCUUGCCUUGAAGUCUGAUGUGUCAGCCUGCGGCUCGCCCGUGAAGCGUCAUUGGAUACUGCUGGACUAGAGUACAGAAGAUACGAGUGUAAUUCCACGUGUGCGCAGAGAUAUGCAUAAACAUGUAUGGCAACACGCAGUGCCCCUAGGCUCACUCUUUUGCUCUGUAACUGACACUCAAGG